rnacentral:rRNA from 1 species
UGGGGAAUUUUGCACAAUGGGGGAAACCCUGAUGCAGCGACGCCGCGUGAUUUAGAAGGCCUUCGGGUUGUAAAAAUCUUUUCUAUGGGAAGAAAAUGACAGUACCAUAGGAAUAAGGACCGGCUAAUUACGUGCCAGCAGCCGCGGUAAUACGUAAGGUCCGAGCGUUGUCCGGAAUCAUUGGGCGUAAAGGGUACGUAGGCGGGUAAGCAAGUUAGAAGUGAAAUCCUAUAGCUCAACUAUAGUAAGCUUUUAAAACUGCUCAUCUUGAGGUAUGGAAGGGAAAGUGGAAUUCCUAGUGUAGCGGUGAAAUGCGCAGAUAUUAGGAGGAAUACCGGUGGCGAAGGCGACUUUCUGGCCAUAACCUGACGCUGAGGUACGAAAGCGUGGGUAGCAACCAGG